rnacentral:rRNA from 1 species
ACAUCCAGAGAACUUAGCAGAGAUGCUUUGGUGCCUUCGGGAACUCUGAGACAGGUGCUGCAUGGCUGUCGUCAGCUCGUGUUGUGAAAUGUUGGGUUAAGUCCCGNAACGAGCGCAACCCUUUAUCCUUUGUUGCCAGCGGUUCGCCGGGAAACUCAAAGGAGACUGCCGGUGAUAAACCGGAGGAAGGUGGGGAUGACGUCAAGUCAUCAUGGCCCUUACGGCCAGGGCUACACACGUGCUACAAUGGCGCAUACAAAGAGAAGCGACCUCGCGAGAGCAAGCGGACCUCAUAAAGUGCGUCGUAGUCCGGAUUGGAGUCUGCAACUCGACUCCAUGAAGUCGGAAUCGCUAGUAAUCGUAGAUCAGAAUGCUACGGUGAAUACGUUCCCGGGCCUUGUACACACCGCCCGUCACACCAUGGGAGUGGGUUGCAAAAGAAGUAGGUAGCUUAACCUUCGGGAGGGCGCUUACCACUUUGUGAUUCAUGACUGGGGUGAAGUCGUAACAAGGUAGGCGUAGCGAG